GACGAACGCUGGCGGCGUGCCUAAUACAUGCAAGUUGAGCGCUGAAGGUUGGUACUUGUACCAACUGGAUGAGCAGCGAACGGGUGAGUAACGCGUGGGGAAUCUGCCUUUGAGCGGGGGACAACAUUUGGAAACGAAUGCUAAUACCGCAUAAAAACUUUAAACACAAGUUUUAAGUUUGAAAGAUGCAAUUGCAUCACUCAAAGAUGAUCCCGCGUUGUAUUAGCUAGUUGGUGAGGUAAAGGCUCACCAAGGCGAGGAUACAUAGCCGACCUGAGAGGGUGAUCGGCCACAUUGGGACGGAGACACGGCCCAAACGCCUACGGGAGGCAGCAGUAGGGAAUCUUCGGCAAUGGACGAAAGUCUGACCGAGCAACGCCGCGUGAGUGAAGAAGGUUGUCGGAUCGUAAAACUCUGUUGGUAGAGAAGAACGUUGGUGAGAGUGGAAAGCUCAUCAAGUGACGGUAACUACCCAGAAAGGGACGGCUAACUACGUG
rnacentral:rRNA from 1 species